rnacentral:rRNA from 1 species
UGCCUACGGGGGGCAGCAGUAGGGAAUCUUCCACAAUGGGCGAAAGCCUGAUGGAGCAACGCCGCGUGGGUGAAGAAGGUCUUCGGAUCGUAAAGCUCUGUUGGUAGUGAAGAAAGAUAGAGGUAGUAACUGGCCUUUAUUUGACGGUAAUUACUUAGAAAGUCACGGCUAACUACGUGCCAGCAGCCGCGGUAAUACGUAGGUGGCAAGCGUUGUCCGGAUUUAUUGGGCGUAAAGCGAGUGCAGGCGGUU